rnacentral:rRNA from 1 species
UACAGAGGCCUCGAGCGUUGUUCGGAAUUACUGGGCGUAAAGGGAAUGUAGGUGGUGACGUAAGUCAGAUGUGAAAGCCCUGGGCUUAACCUGGGAAGUGCAUUUGAUACUGCGUUGCUUGAGUACGAGAGAGGAAAGCGGAAUUCCAAGUGUAGGAGUGAAAUCCGUAGAUAUUUGGAGGAAUACCGAUGGCGAAGGCAGCUUUCUGGCUCGUAACUGACACUGAGAUUCGAAAGCGUGGGUAGCAAACAGG